GAACACUAUUAUUUCUCUAUAAUGUAUGUGGCUUAUGUUGAGAAUGCCACAUUAUUUCCUUGUUGUCAAAUUCUCACAAUUCUUCAUUAAAGAUAUAAAGAACUCAUACCCAAUUUCCUCCUUCUUCAUUCACUAUUAUAUCUCUCAAUUCCCUUCAACAGAAUAAAAGAAACCCCAAACCCCAAUUCAUUUUCUCUCUCUCAUUCACUGUCCUCCUUCUUCCUCUGUUCUGUCCGUCGAAUUCAAGCAAGAUGCACUCAUUUUUUAGUCUUUGUUCCUUCAUCAAAGUUGUAGAUCUCUUCGAGAUAUUGAAUUUAGACUCAAAAAUUCUUCAAUCGGAGUUCGGAGCUAGGAGUUAUGAUCUCUGGAAGUUGUAGUUGUUUGCUGCCACUGUUUCAGCAUUAUUUCUCUCUCCUCUUCUUCGUGGAUGCUACUGCCACCUGAUUUGUUGGUGUAUGUUGUGGCUGUUGCAUGUUGUUGUUGUCAAAGAAUUCUUUCUUUUGCUUCUGUCCCAUCGGUGCUGCUACUGUUUUCCGGUCCUCUUCGCCGGCGAGCUACCACCAUCGAGGUUGUGCGCAUCGUGUUGAUUGGCUGAAUUGAGUUCUUGUGUCUUGUUGUUUGUGAAUUCCAAAAUCAGGUAUAACAAUUAAGUUUUCAUAAAUAUGAUUUCCUAAAGAUAUAAUUAUUGUUGUUUGAUUCAAUUCAAAUUGUUAAAGUUGAUCAUGAUUUAUGUUGGUAAACUUUUAUUUUACAUUGUAGCUUCCAAAUUACUUUGUUCUGUCAGGAAGUUUUAAGUAUAUUUGUAUACUUAUAAACAAUAACCAGUUUUAAGAGAAGAUGUUUUUAAUUCAGAAUAUAGUGGAACUAAUAAUCAAGAUGGAUAUCAUGUUCCAAACAAGUAACUUGCUGUGUUUUCUUUUCAAUGGAUUCAAGUGAGUUUUGUAAGAGCAAUUUGAUGAUCUUGUUACGAAAAUUAGAUAUGAUAAAAGUUUGUUCAACUUAAGAUUAAAUCUUUCCUAUUUAUUUAAUGGGUUGGGUUGAGAUUUAUAAAUUGUAUUUAUAUUUCUUAAGUUAGUUUAUGAAAUCAAAUUAUCAUAAGCCAUGUUGUUUAACAGUAUCCUUUGUGAAUUAGAAUGAGGUUAACUGGAGUUAGAGAUUGAUAUAGUGAAUUGGAUUAGUAGAAUGGUUUGUAAAUAAGGAGUUGUGGGUAGUUCAUGAAAGAGGUUAGAAGGUAUGAGAAAGUUAAUUUCUUUAUCUAAUUGGUAGUAAGGAUGUUGAUUGUUGUUCAUAUUGUUGUGAGGUGAUUGUUGGAGAUUGAUAAAGAAUUUGGAAAUGUUGGAACCUUGAAGAUUAUAAUGGAAUCGAGCGUUCUUUGGGGAAAUGAAGGAGGUGAUUGUUGGAGAUUGAUAAAGAAUUUGGAAAUGUUGGAACCUUGAAGAUUAUAAUGGAAUCGAGCGUUCUUUGGGGAAAUGAAGGAGUUAUCUAUAUCCUGCAAAUGGUCAUUUUGCACCCAGAUGGAGCUUCUAAACUGCUCAAGCACCUAAAUAGUGGAAAUGUACUUUCCAGGGAUUCCUAGCACUUAUUCCCAAGAGAUGAUUGACGAGCUAAGAGAUAUGUGGGUGAAUUAUUUAAACAAUCAAACAUAAGACGAUGGAGAUUGAAGACGACGGUCAAGUUUGAAUUGUACAUAUUAUUUGAUUAUUUUAGAAUUUUAGUUUUAGUAGCUAGCAUUUAUAUUAUAGAAACUUUUUUACGACAUUAUUAGAAGAAAUUUAUGCUUUGAAUGAGAUUGGUUUUGUAUAUAAAUUAAAUGUAGCAAAUAUUAUUUUUGACAUGAUAAAUAAAGCAAGCAAGAAUUUAUGUUUCAUAA